CGUUUAGAAGCUUAUCCUAAGCAUUGGUCUCUUAAACCACAGAAGCCGAAGGCCUUAACGU
rnacentral:tRNA from 1 species